rnacentral:rRNA from 1 species
UACGUAGGGUGCAAGCGUUGUUCGGAAUUACUGGGCGUAAAGCGCGCGUAGGCGGCUUUGUAAGUCAGAGGUGAAAGCCUGGAGCUCAACUCCAGAACUGCCUUUGAAACUACAUCGCUAGAAUCAUGGAGAGGUUAGUGGAAUUCCGAGUGUAGAGGUGAAAUUCGUAGAUAUUCGGAAGAACACCAGUGGCGAAGGCGACUAACUGGACAUGUAUUGACGCUGAGGUGCGAAAGCGUGGGGAGCAAACAGG